GUACUACUCGAGCUGAGCGAUGACAGCCAUGACGCUUCCGGCGAGCAUCCGGCGCGCCCGCACCGACGAUGCCGGCGCGAUGUCGGCGCUGAUCCAGGAGUACGUGCCGGUCGGCACGCUGCUUCCGCGUGCGCCGGAGUUCAUCGCCGAGCGGACGAUCGACUUCCUCGUCGCGACCGUGCGCGGCCAGGUGAUCGGCUGCGUCCACCUCGAGGAGUACUCACCGAGCAUGGCGGAGCUGCGCUCCCUCGUCGUCGACCCG
rnacentral:misc_RNA from 1 species